GCGCCAUUAGCUCAAUUGGCAGAGCAGCUGACUCUUAAUCAGCGGGUUCGGGGNGCGUCAUCGCCCGGCGCGCCA
rnacentral:tRNA from 1 species